rnacentral:rRNA from 1 species
CCUACGGGAGGCAGCAGUAAGGAAUAUUGGUCAAUGGGCGCAAGCCUGAACCAGCCAUGCCGCGUGCAGGAUGACGGCCCUCUGGGUUGUAAACUGCUUUUAUACGGGAAGAACAGCAUCUACGUGUAGGUGUUUGACGGUACUGUAAGAAUAAGGACCGGCUAACUUCGUGCCAGCAGCCGCGGUAAUACGAAGGGUCCAAGCGUUAUCCGGAUUUAUUGGGUUUAAAGGGUGCGUAGGCGGCUUUUUAAGUCAGUGGUGAAAGCCUGAUGCUCAACAUCAGAACUGCCAUUGAUACUGAAGAGCUUGAGUACAGUUGAGGUUGGCGGAAUGUGUCAUGUAGCGGUGAAAUGCUUAGAUAUGACACAGAACACCGAUUGCGAAGGCAGCUAGCUAAGCUGUUACUGACGCUGAUGCACGAAAGCGUGGGGAGCAAACAGGAUUAGAUACCCUGGUAGUCCACGCCCUAAACGUUGAUAACUCGUUGUUAGCGAUAUACUGUUAGCGACCAAGCGAAAGCAUUAAGUUAUCCACCUGGGAAGUACGGUCGCAAGAUUGAAACUUAAAGGAAAUUGACGG